AAUACGGGUGGGAGAAGGGGGGAAUAGGGGACAAGGGGCGAAAGCCUGAUCCAGCCAUGCCGCGUGUGUGAAGAAGGCCUUCGGGUUGUAAAGCACUUUCAGUGGGGAAGAAAGCCUUGGGGCUAAUACCCUCGAGGAAGGACAUCACCCACAGAAGAAGCACCGGCUAACUCCGUGCCAGCAGCCGCGGUAAUACGGAGGGUGCGAGCGUUAAUCGGAAUUACUGGGCGUAAAGCGCGCGUAGGCGGUCUGAUAAGCCGGUUGUGAAAGCCCCGGGCUCAACCUGGGAACGGCAUCCGGAACUGUCAGGCUAGAGUGCAGGAGAGGAAGGUAGAAUUCCCGGUGUAGCGGUGAAAUGCGUAGAGAUCGGGAGGAAUACCAGUGGCGAAGGCGGCCUUCUGGACUGACACUGACGCUGAGGUGCGAAAGCGUGGGUAGCAAACAGGAUUAGAUACCCCAGUAGUC
rnacentral:rRNA from 1 species